AAGGUUCCACAAUAGUAACAUUUUGCUUUCUUUUCCUCUCCCGGCUCUAUUGUAAAGUGAUCCCAGGCUUCAGAACGGUUCUUGCGUGGUCGAGGGCGAGGAGGUAAUGGGUUAGCUGUGUAACAAACUUUUUGUUCAGAUGUCUCGGAAGCGCCAUGAGUGUUCAUUUCAACACUGUCAAAUAGACAAUCAUAAUAAGCUGUGAUUAAUUAACAAUAACUCUGAUGUUCUAUUCUAACAUUUUGUGAAUUUCUGCAGGCAACACAAUAUACACACAAACUGGCAUUGGCACUGCUAUUGCAAUUGCAGGUGUUGCUGUCUAUUCUCUGAUAAAAGCAAACAUGGAAGAGCAAAAACGGAAAGCUGCUGCAGCCCUUGCAUCUUAAUGGAUGUUCUUUCUUUGAUCAGCAAUACUGGAUCAAGUUGGCAUAAAUUAAGUGAUAUGAUAUGAGAAGUAUUCAGAGUAUCCAAUAUUUGAUAACAUGUUUCAUUGUUUGUGUGCCUUGAAAAGUAAAAGUAUUUAGAGGUAGAAAAAGUGAUUUUGCUUCAUUUUGUUCAUGUUUUAGUAUUUAUAUGCUUCUGUAUAAUUGCACUACUUGAAGAUCUUAGUUAAUGAGUAUUUAUCUGCACAAUUUGAGUGCAGGGUUUAACCCAGCAUAAGUUGCUUGCACCAAAAUGUACGAGAAAACAAUUUGGAGAUAAUAUAUUAUUAUUUACUA